GGGACCAGCUCGUCUUUUUAAUAUGAGAGAGAGGGGAGCAAAGAGAAGAAUCACUACCGCAACGGUCUAGCCGUUCGUCGUCGGCCUGGUUGUUGUCUCAGCAGCAGCCGCCGCGGCUGCCGCCGCUUACCUAGGUACGUGCGUGCUGGAGUUCGAGAUGAUGCGGAAGUUGCUUGUUUAGAAUUACCUGGGACUAUUUACAGUGUGCACACCGUACUUCGUUAAAGCGGGUGUGCACACUCCCGACUUCCUCCAGUCCGAUUUGCGAGAAGAUCGGUGGGUAACACUCUGCAGCCAAAAAAAUAAAGAAAGUGUGUACGUGCGUUUGUUCCUGUUUUUGUCUACUAUCGUCAUUCUUAGAAAAUGCAAAAGGUUUGAAAUUUUAUAAAAUAGAGAAUUUAUCUUUUAGACUAAUUUUUAUACAAAAGUGGUAAUUUAGGCGGCACUGUUGCAGUAGCUUUCAUCUAGGGUAUAGCUAUACAAAACUGCUAUAAAAAACCACCAUUUUUCAACGGUACAUAUGUCGCGUAUUUAACAGUACCACAAAUGUGAUUUUUACGGUACUAUACAAAGUUUUUGAAAAAGAAGAUUUUCAUUUAAAACUGUACAAUAUUUUUCCUAUUAAUUAUUUGAUUUGAACGGUACUUCUUAAUGAUUUUAAACGGUACUAGGUACUUUAUUAAAACUGUACCAAGUAUUAAUUUUUAUUUAAGCAGCAGUUAAUGAAAUUUUUACGUAUCAGUCACUGAGUUUAAACGGUACUUAGUCUUUGAUUUUAACUGUACCACUUAAUGAAUUUAAAAGGUACUAUGUACGUGAUGUUAAACGGUCCUAAGUAUGUUUUUUUAAGGUACGAGUUUUAUGAUCUUAACGGUACCAGUUUUAUGAUUUUAACGGCACUAGAUAUUUGAUUUAAACGGUACUAGGUACUUAAUUUAAACCGCACCAAUUAAUGAUUUUUAACGGUAUCAGUUAAUUAUUUUAAACGGUACUUUUCAUCAACUUUACGUUACCAUCGAAAUUUAGAUCUUCUUUUUUUAUUUACUUUGUAUAGUAUCGUUGAAAUAACAUUUGUGAUCCAUUGAAGUAACAUUGUAGUACCGUCGAAAACCGGGUUUUUUUCCAGUAACUUUGUAUAGUUAUACCCUAUAUCAAAACUUCAAGAGAAGCUCUGGCCAAAUUGCUACUUUCGCCUAAAAAUUAAUCUACAAAAUGAAUUCGCUACUUUAUAAAAAAUUUAGGUUUGUAGUUUUUUCAAAGCGACUACAGUAGACAAACUACGCUGUUUUACCUACCAUUACUUCUAAGCACGGUGUGCACACUGUGAAUAGUAAACCCUAGAAUUAAACAUACUCCAUCAGUACAUGGUUUAUUAAUAGAUAACACUGUUCUCUAUCGUGAGUAAUUAUAUGACGUGACUUAUGCGUUCGUUCAUAGUCGUUUUAAAUAUCCCCACUACGCAACACGUGCAGAAACUAAUAUUAAGAAGUCACUUUUACGAAGUCCCGGUAUCGUCAAAAAAAAGAUCAAAUUUACUAAAGAUCUAACAACAUCUAUUAUAACAGUUUACCCACCAAAACUUUCUUUUUUUUAACUAAAAUGUCUUAUACAUAUACUACAACUUCCAAUCAAAUUAAUGUACUUAUGAGUGUCCGUAUAAAAAACGAGUUUAACGAGCCUAUUUCCCAUUAGAGUAGUGGGCUUUUUUCUCCAAUAGCGUUGUUGGAUAGGUGAUGAACAGGGAGCUUGGUUUGCCUAUAUGACAAUAGAGCUCAUUUAACGACUUUCGGUGGUGUAAACACCGUGCGUAUGAGGUUUUGGUGGUGAAAACGGUCUUCAAAGUUUUUUGGUAGUGAAGGCGCCGUUCACUUAUUGUCUAACGUGACUAAGCUUUAACUCGACGGAAAUUGUCGUUUUGACUGGCAAGUCCGGGUGGACGGCCCCGGUGCACCGUAAACGUUUACCCCCGCUCCUCUGCCUGCAAUCGGCCUCCCUCCCGCACCAUACACCGGGUGGACAACACGUCGCCGCUGGCCUCCUCCUUGUUGUGACCGCCACCGCGUUCCCUGCCACUGCCGCGGUGCUGAGCCCCGCCCUUCUCCCUGUCAGCGUCGUGUCCCACGCCCCGCCGCCGCAGGAUCCGGUAUCGGUAACUAAACCAGCCUCGGUUCGAGGGCGGGUACCGACAUCGGCAGCUAAGCCAGCCCCGGCUCGAGGGCGGGCACCGGCACCAGCAGCUAAAACCGGCCUCGGCUCGAGGGCGGGAACCGGCACCAGCAGCUAAAACCGGCCUCGGCUCGAGGGCGGGUACCAGCACCAGCAGCUAAACCGGCCUCGGCUCGAGGACGGGUACCGGCAGCGGCAACUAAACCAGCCUCGGCUCAAGGGCAUGGGCGUGUGCGCGAGUUGCCGCUCGAGGCCGACCGCAGCCGGUACUUGGUUCGGGCUGCUGCUGUGGUCCCUGUUGACGUUCCCUCGAGCAGGCGCGCAAGAGGUAGCCUCGAGGGAUGAAGAGGGGGACACCUCGCAGCAGCCACCACCUUGUCGCGGCCGCGUAGACCCGCCCUCUCCCACUCCGACAUACUUAGCAGGGACCCCAGUCCGAGUAGCCCGGGCGACCCUAGGAAACCGAGGUGAGCGUAGAGGCUGCCGUCGCGGGGGUUGAGCCUCCGUCGGACGUCCUCCCUUCCGAGGGUGCCGCCGCUCCUCGUCUCUCGAGGCCGCCGCCGGUACCGCUCUAGAUGACACCCCCGCCUUGGUCGCCGACAACCAGCCACACACGCACCCGGGCUUGGACAAACGUUUGCGGCGAUCACAGGCAGAGACACGUAGGUGCGGGGACCUGGGCAUUCACCCGGGUUGAACAGUCCAAACGACAAUCAGCGCCAAGUGUCGAACAAAUCACGUUAGACAAUAAGUGAACGGUGCCUUCACCACCAAAAAAUUUUAAAGACCGUUUUCACCACCAAAAUCUCAUAGGCGCGGUGUUUACACCACCGAAAGUCGUUAAAUGAGGACAAUAGAGAUUGGUAAACUGUAGGGUCUUUUUUACCGAUAGGGAUUGGUACACUAUCCACUAUGAGUAUCGGUGAGUUUCGAUAGCGUACUUGGUUUGUAUGGGAUCACCUGAGGCAACCAAGGUAUCUCGGAAGGUUAAUAAUAAACUCAGGGAUCCAUCGGUAGUGCUUACCC
rnacentral:rRNA from 1 species